rnacentral:rRNA from 2 species
UCCGGUCUUGAUAGCGAAAGGGUCACACCCGUUCUCAUUCCGAACACGGAAGUUAAGCCUUUCUGCGCCGAUGGUACUGCAGGCGAGAGCCGUGUGGGAGAGUAGGACGAGGCCGGAU